rnacentral:tRNA from 1 species
AGGUCUGUAGCUCAAUUGGGAGAGCGCCGGACUCCAAAUUCGGAGGUUGCAGGUUCAAUCCCUGCCAGGCCUG